rnacentral:lncRNA from 1 species
AAGGCGUUAAAAACAUGCGAUGACGUCGCACACUGUAAUGCUGUCAGAGAUAGGCCUACUGCUUUACGGCAGUUUCUAAAGCACUUCCCUUGUCCCGCAACGAUAACACCAGCUGUUGGAGUCGGACCUUGAUGCUGUGACAACGGACAAGUCUUCUUCCUCUGUCCUUUUCCCCUGCCUCUGUUCAACUGACGUGCUGCAGUGUCCUGUGUACUAAUGCUGCUGCAUUAUUUGUGCAUUUAUUUCAUACAGGUAUGUUGAUGUUGCUCCCAUGUUGUACUUUAUUUUAAUAUAAAAUAUUAAUUAGCCGGUGGUGUAUAGUGUGUGUA